rnacentral:misc_RNA from 1 species
CCUCUUUGCCCCACAAGAAGAAGGGAUAAAUUUAAAGUAGAGAUUGAAUUUAAUCGAGAUGAAGACAAUGAUGGAAGCUUGGAUUCCAGCGUUAGUUGAAGGCAUACAUUCCACCCCCACUCAGGCCGUCCUUUAUCUCUCCGGCGGUGCCUCUCAGGCGCUGGGCUGGUUGAUGGCAGUGCCCGGUGCUACAAAUACAGUGCUUGAAGCUCUGGUACCCUACUCCAGAAUGUCCAUGAUUCAAUUACUUGGCAAGGUUCCUACUAAUUAUUGUAGCCAACAAACAGCAGAGGAAAUGGCCUUAUUGGCUUACAAUCGCGCUCUUAAGCUCUCUAGUCCUGGUUAUCCAGUUCUUGGUGUGGGUUUCACUGGUUCUCUAGCUAGCACGCGGGCCAAACUUGGUGAUCACAGAUUUCACUUGUCAACAAGAACAUCUGACCGACUUUGGGUAUCUAAAGUUACUUUGUCAAAGGGUCUGCGAACUCGAGAGCAAGAAGAUACCAUUUCAAGUCAUCUCUUACUCGAGGCCAUUGCAAAUGCUUGCAAAGUCCAGGCAACAUUUGUUUCUAAUUUGACUGAAUCUGAUGUGUCUGAUGAAUUUGAAAAAAAAUUUACUGAAGAUCAAGAAUUGGAACAACUUCUAAAUGGGCAAAUAUGCUUUAAGGUUUAUCCGUUUUCCAGUGUGAUGCAUACGUCAAAUGAAGAGAGAAAGAUAAUACUUCCUGGUUCUUUUAAUCCAUUGCAUGAAGGUCACCUCAAGCUCUUGGAAGUUGCUACAAGCAUUUGUGGCAAUGGGUACCCAUGCUUUGAGAUCUCAGCAGUCAAUGCUGACAAACCUCCACUUUCCAUAUCGCAAAUCAAAGAUCGUGUCAGGCAAUUUGAAAAAGUUGGGAAGACAGUAAUUAUUUCCAGUCAGCCUUUCUUUUACAAGAAAGCUGAGCUUUUCCCUGGCAGUGCUUUUGUAAUUGGUGCAGACACAGCAGUGAGGCUGAUUAAUCCUAAGUACUAUGAUGGUGACUGUGGGAAGAUGCUAGAGAUACUCAUCGCAUGCAAGAAUACAGGAUGCACAUUCCUUGUUGGUGGUCGUAAUGUAGAUGGUGUGUUUAAGGUUCUUGAAGACUUUGACAUUCCGGAGGUGUUAAAAGACAUGUUUGUCUCAAUACCAGCUGAACAGUUCCGCAUGGAUAUUUCGUCUACCGAGAUAAGAAAGAGGAGUGGGAUGUGAGUCUAACAUGCUGCAAUAUUUACCCAUUAUAUGAUUCUUGUAACGCUGAUGAAGAUGAUAAAUAUGCAUCUGGGGAAAAAUCAGAUAAUAUUAUACUACACAAGUCUUCUGCAUGUUAAAAUAAUCUUCUGCAUAUACAGAUUUAUCAGAGUCAAACCAAAACCUUGGUAUCUCUACAAAGAAAGUAACACCGGUAAAUCCAUUAUCCUGUUCCUGCCUCAUAUUUGCCCAUUUUGACAUGGACAAUUGUGGUGGUAGGAAUUUAGUUUGUAUCCUGAAAGACAUUAGAGUGAAUUAUCAAUAGAGAAUUUUGUUUUUUUCGUCAGUCAGCAAUUGCGGUUGCCAUGGAAUGCAAAGAUCUUCCACAUGGCUAUGGAGUGCGAAUUCUCUUUUCAGGUGGCUGCAAUUUCAAUUUGUCCAUGGAUUGUUAAUUGCAUUCCGUUACCCUUCUAAAUUAUAUGAAUUGUCAAUUUUAUCCUUUUUUUGAUUUUAAUUCCCUCUUUUGGACAAAGCUUGAAAACUGAAAAAAGACAAAUGAAAUGUCGGUGCCACGUGGAGGCUAAAAGAAGAACAAAAUUCUGUGGCUUCUCUGGUGGAAGAGAGCUUCUUGGGAUAAGAAAUGUCUGGCUGUGACUUUAAUAUACAAAUGAUAAAUGCAAUUAUAUAUUGAUGGAACAUGAUAAUCUAAAUCUAAAUCUAAAUCCAAAGCAAACUUUGACGACAUUUGUUCAUGUGCAAGUGACUGUUGCAUUAACAACCUAGUAUAUCUACAACUGAAUUCUCUUGCAAAAUGGUCCAAAAUGAAACUUCUACUGUUUUAUUGGCAUGCCAGAACUGAAUUUGUUCACAUGGAGGCAGACGGACGGAAGGAGAGAAGAGCUCAACCACCGCAAGCUGCACCGCACCCAGCUGCGCAUGUAGAACCAUGUGUAUCGGUAUGCGUAGCAGAGGUUUUAUCCUUGGAUGCGCCACCUGCACAAGAGAAAAUGAUAGCCGUAAUAAUGGAUAGAGUGAUUAGUGCACCCCACCAUAAGAGUAAAGCUUCGCUGCUCAACCCUUCGCCGCCGCUUCUUCCAUACCCCCCUAUCGCCUCUUUCCAUUCCCUUACCAUAUCCAAUCUCUCUCUCUCUCGAUAAAAGUCAGUUCUUGUUUUUGAGUUUUAACAGCCAACACCACACCGAUCAAAGGAUUGUUUGAUUUGCAUUGACUUUUUGUGCAGGUGAUUUAAUAAUGUGAAAGAGGGGAAAAAACAAGAAAAAGAAAAUGCUGACUACCAUUCCCUCCUCAAACCCUAUCCAAAAUAGGUUGCCUUUGUUGACAUACGAUGCUAAUUUUAAGCAUAAAGUCCUUAGAAAACUAAUUGGUGCUGUCGGUGAAGUCCUUAAAAAACCUUAUAAUUAUUUUAAUUUUUUAAAUUAACUAAUUAUUAUUUUCUUGAGAAGAAAAAAAAAUCAUUACUCUUUUUUAUGUAUAAAUAAUUAGAAAGGAUAAAUCAAAACGGGAAACAAUUAUAAAGCUGCUGCUUUAUGGUCAAAUUAACUUUCUGAUAUUGAAUAUCGUUGAAAGGGCAUAAUUCCAACACGUGUAAGAGCCACUGGGAGCAAGGGUGGCAGAUGUAGCUGAAGGACGAGCCCAAGUAAAAGCAGAAAGAGGAUUGAACCCUGUCAAGAAAAGGGGAAGAAUCAAUUUUCAAGUGCGCUAUAUAUAUAAAGAAAAAAAUCGUGAUAUAAAAAUAAUUUAAUUAGUAAUUUUUUAAUUACAAUAUUAUUCGUUCAUUUUUUUUGGGUUAAAAUUAGAUACAUUCAUUAGAGGAAUCAAUGUACAUGGCCUACGGUCCAAUACAUAGUAGAUGCAAUACAACCCAUCUAACAAAAAUCAAAGGGCUAAGCCCAAAGGCCACUUGAAUAGAACCGUAGAGUUCGGCAAUUGGAAAGUUAUCUGAGCAGCGCUGCUUGCCACUAUGACCUUUCACGGCUCUAUCAAGACCGCCGAGAAAGCCCAACCCCAACGGGUCAUCAACAACCAACAGGAGAAAGAAUAAGGGUAACCGCUUCCUCUAGUAGCCAUGCAUGGCAAAGAACAGGAGUAGAACAAGAAGAAACCCAUUUCCAUAACAUAGCACCCCAAGCUUUGGAUUUUGAAACCAUAAAUAAGAAUGGUUUUAGGUGUGUGAUGUCAGUCGAUAAUUUGAGUUUUCUACAGAGGACUCCACUGAUGUUGCUGUGAGCUUCUGAAGAGUAGUCAAUGUGCCAAGUAAGCCUGUAAAAUGAAAAAAUGGUGAGGUUAGUAGGCUUUUAGCCAGCUACUCUAACGCUCAAGUUAAAGGUCUAUGUUGGGAGAAUGAAAAUUAAGUAAAGAGAGC